UUCCUACGGGAGGCAGCAGUGGGGAAUAUUGCACAAUGGGGGAAACCCUGAUGCAGCGACGCCGCGUGAGUGAAGAAGUAUUUCGGUAUGUAAAGCUCUAUCAGCAGGGAAGAUAAUGACGGUACCUGACUAAGAAGCCCCGGCUAACUACGUGCCAGCAGCCGCGGUAAUACGUAGGGGGCAAGCGUUAUCCGGAAUUACUGGGUGUAAAGGGAGCGUAGACGGCUGUGCAAGUCUGGAGUGAAAGGCGGGGGCCCAACCCCCGGACUGCUCUGGAAACUGUAUGGCUGGA
rnacentral:rRNA from 1 species